GACGAACGCUGGCGGCGUGCCUAAUACAUGCAAGUGGAACGCUGAAGGAGGAGCUUGCUUCUCUGGAUGAGUUGCGAACGGGUGAGUAACGCGUAGGUAACCUGCCUGGUAGCGGGGGAUAACUAUUGGAAACGAUAGCUAAUACCGCAUAAGAGUAGAUGUUGCAUGACAUUUGCUUAAAAGGUGCAAUUGCAUCACUACCAGAUGGACCUGCGUUGUAUUAGCUAGUUGGUGGGGUAACGGCUUACCAAGGCGACGAUACAUAGCCGACCUGAGAGGGUGAUCGGCCACACUGGGACUGAGACACGGCCCAGACUCCUACGGGAGGCAGCAGUAGGGAAUCUUCGGCAAUGGACGGAAGUCUGACCGAGCAACGCCGCGUGAGUGAAGAAGGUUUUCGGAUCGUAAAGCUCGGUUGUAAGAGAAGAACGAGUGUGAGAGUGGAAAGUUCACACUGUGACGGUAUCUUACCAGAAAGGGACGGCUAACUACGUG
rnacentral:rRNA from 1 species